rnacentral:rRNA from 1 species
GACGAACGCUGGCGGCGUGCUUAACACAUGCAAGUCGUACGGUAAGGCCCUUUCGGGGGUACACGAGUGGCGAACGGGUGAGUAACACGUGAGUAACCUGCCCACAACUUUGGGAUAACGCUAGGAAACUGGUGCUAAUACUGGAUAUGUGCCCCUGCUGCAUGGUGGGGGUUGGAAGGCUCCGGCGGUUGUGGAUGGACUCGCGGCCUAUCAGCUUGUUGGUGGGGUAGUGGCCUACCAAGGCGGCGACGGGUAGCCGGCCUGAGAGGGUGACCGGCCACAUUGGGACUGAGAUACGGCCCAGACUCCUACGGGAGGCAGCAGUGGGGAAUAUUGCACAAUGGGCGCAAGCCUGAUGCAGCAACGCCGCGUGCGGGAUGACGGCCUUCGGGUUGUAAACCGCUUUCAGCAGGGACGAAGCUUUUUGUGACGGUACCUGCAGAAGAAGCACCGGCUAACUACGUG